AAGACAACUGUUCAGCUGUCAUGGAAGAUGCAAUUUAUUUCAUUAAAACCACUCAUGAUGAUAUGUGAGAAGGAAAGAAGCCCUUUUAGCUUUUAGGAAACAAAUAAUUUCUGGGGUUAGUAAUUAGGAAAACAUAGCAAACCCAAAACAUUUGUAUUUGUAAACUGAGUACACUUGCCGUGGCUUGACUAAAAUGUGCUAAGCCUAAUCUUGGAUCUUUUUUCUUCAAAGAACCACCACAUUUUAAGAUGCUAGUAAUGUAAAAAACCUAAGCAUGGGCAGAGUCAUUCCCCCACUGUUCCACCCAGGUUUUCAGCAUUUUACUGUGCUUUCACAUCUACUAUGCGAAGAUCAAUCUGUUUCCAGAAGGCUACUUUGGUGGGUGGUCUGAGUUUAUUCUAUUUCUUAAUUUUAUUUUCCAGUACACUCAGAGUUUUCUUUCCAUUUUCUGCGUUGAGCUUAAUGGUUUUACUGAGCCACAAUACCGAUAAUGUAAUAUGGAGUAUUUGUUUUAUUUCUUGCUAUAUCCAGCAUGGUUUUACACACAAGCUAAUUACCUCCAGAACCACAAGAAGCAUAUCUAAUUUGAACUUGGCCCUAAUUCUCCUGCCUUCAUCAGUUCUGUAUACAGUUGAUGUACAAUGAACCCUUGAAGAAAAUUUCUUACACUUGACCCUUUCAGUAGUUUCAUGGGAUUGUCCCCAUUUUUUUUUGUAUUCUUAUCAAAUGGUUUCACUCUACCAAAUCAACACGCCCUCAGAACAAUUGCAUUAAACAAAACAAGGCCAUUUUCUCCAAUUAAAGUUCUUACUCUGUCUACAGUAACAUCAGUAGAGCCUUCACAAAACAUAAUCUAUGAAGCCACUGUAUUAUAAAAUGUUGCAAGCAAUCUUCUGAAACUUGUGUCUUACUCACUGGAGAAAGCAAAUCCCUUUUCUGAGCUAACCAGUAAAGUUGUGACCACAAUCAGAUUCUGGAAUUAUGGACAUAGAUUAUAACUCUGUCAUAAAUGUGUGAAAGUGUACAUCACGCACCAUGGUAACCUGCAAGUUAACAAGAAAUCAAUGCGGGAUGCACCUUGAAUGUGCAGACAAAGCUGCUAAGUAUUUGUGAGCUGCUUUCGUGUCCAGAAACUUCAAAGCAUCAUAUACAAGGAAUGAACUCUUUAUAUCAGAAUCAAAACACACACAAACAUUUUUCGACCACCCCAACAACACAGCAUUGACUCUAAUGGGGUGUAAAUCUGUUUCUCCAGUGCUUCUUAACACAUAGAGAUGGCACAUGGACUAGGCAAAGCCAGAUUAAGACUAACGCACAGGCAGGCUAAGCAAACUUUCAUGAUUGAGAGGAGUAUCUUUAAAUCAUAACCCAGGCUUAGCUGAUGGCACAAGCAUUGCCUGAGUCAUCUGAAAAUCUGAAACAACGGCUCUGAGCAUGGUAAACUUUGUCAUUAAUCUGACAGUGUGUCAGCCUCAUGACUUGAAGGACGGGGAGAGGGACAGCAGGGAUUCUGCCACUUCAGCAGACAGCUCUAUGGGUGGAGCAGGAGCAGAAAAGUGCAGUAAGCCUGACUCAGUCUCCAGCAGAUACAUUCCUGAUGCUUCAGCAACAUGACUGAACUUUACACUCAGGACACCCGGUGCGUGUCACACUCAAUAAGGAAAUGGCAUCUCUCACUGUUGCUGAUGGUGAGCAACAAUGCAGAGGAGGAAUUAAAUGGCAGAGAAGCAGCAAAGCAGAGGAACCAGCGUUUAAAACCUCACAUGACCGAAAUAAAUACUAGCACUGACAUACCUAAUUUGGGGCUGUCAUGCAAGGGAAGCCUAGUCUUUAGAUAAACAGAGUGUCCGCCCUUAAACCUCCUGAACUAUCAAUUUUCCCCGUCUAAUACUGCAGAAAGGUUAUGCUGCAGUGUCCUGUGCUUCCUCACAUUUAAAGUUAGGGUAGCCAAGGGCAACAAAGACUCCUUCCUCUCUAGUUUGAUAGCAGAGUUCUUCCUUCCUUUUGUUCACAUGAAGAACAAACACUGAGUUGAACAAUAACAGUGGAUGCCUCAUUAUGAUGCCCUCCUGGGCAUCCAGCCCUAGUUAGCAUUAUCUUACCACUUGGUUUUGUUUUGAAGGAAACCGUGAACGGUCCUUUCAAUUGCUGGUGUUUCAAGAUCAACAUUACCUCUACUUCCUUUGUUUUAAAGUCUCCUUAUUUUACUAACAAUAUGUGGCGCUAUGGAAAAAAAAAUAAAUGACACAGAACCAAUGAACUGAGAAAACUGCCAGUCUAAGAGGCGUGCAGGAACAGAAGGGCAUUUAAAGUAGCUUUCUCUGAACCAGUUGAGCUAUUGAUUCUGAGCAUUAGGGGGAAAAAAAAACCCCACAAAAACAAAGAAAGCCAAAACAACUUAAUCUUCAGCAACUAUUGAAGGAAGUGCACACGAGGAACACAGUUAAGGCUCAGAAUAUACUUUAUUUGAAAACAUACAGGCAUCUGAUCACAUUUCCUGAAAUCAACGUCACCAGCAGAUCCCUCCCUGUCUCAUCUCCUACUUUAUGGACAAAAAGGCCUUUAGUCACCCAACAAAAUCCAUACCCUCUGAUCCACAAUAGCCAGGUGGCAAACGCAGUUUACCACAAACUUACCACUUGUGCAUUCCUGCACUUCUGCUCUUCUUGGCCAAGUAAUUGUUUUGGACAAGUCACUAAACUAUCACUCACUUUUCACACUAUGGGAAGGACAGGUGAACAAAUUUAAUGACAAUUGUGCAGUCCUCUCUGCACCACCAAACCAGGCACAGUCAAGAAGCUACACUGAAAACAGCUGUUGGUGGAUGUGGCUGUUCCAGUGGUGACUGGGAAGGGGAGCAAACACAGGCAGAUAGCCUCAUACUCAGCCAAGGUACUUUUUCUGCAAAGACCUGUCCACAAAAGACACGUUCUUGAGCUGACUGUGAGGUGAGCUGACCUCAACCAGCGCCACGCAGCCCUCAGGUGGGCGGCUCAUUUACCCCUCUGCCAGAAGAGGACUUGAGUUUGUAUAUUCAGUCUGAGCGCUGAAGUUUCCUGUGCCCUUGAGUGAUGCAGCAGGAUGCAGUGUCCUUCCGGAGCCCAGACAGCUGGGACCAGUGGGAGGGAUGCCUUUCUCCCCUCAUGUUCAGAUGUGACAGUGGAAUUUAGUUCAUUCUACACUGGAGAAAUCUGGGCUUGCUCUGACUUCUGGCCACUGCUUAGGAACCUUUGCUAGGGCAUGACAAAUCUUCCAAAUAAAAAUCAAACAGUGCUUUGGGUGGCUGCUUGCCCUUGCUGCUGCUACAGUAGGUGGGAAACUAUGGGUCAGUUAUGUGACCACUCACUCCCUAGUUCAGCCUAAUGCACAUUCAAGAGAAAAAGGGGGAGCAAACCUGUUUCUCAAGGAAAAGAAAGUAUUCUGGAUGAAUAACAGUUAGCUCUGAUAAACUCCAAUAGAGCCCUGUUCGGUAUUACUCAACUGGAAGGACUGUAGUGAUGAAGCAAGGCCACAAAGCGGUAGGGGAAGGAGGGCUGAAAGGCAACGAAGAAACAACAUACCUUUAAGCUUUGGUGUGCACAGCAUGACGCCGGGCCCCUGUAUCAAAUAUGAAGGUGGCUGGGAUCGCAUUACAGAACUAUCAGAGUUAUGCUUUAACCACCCUAAUUUGGUGGUUUUGGCUUUUGCUUCCACAUUAGGAUACAUUGGCUUGAUUUUCAAAGGUAACAAGCACCUACAGCUCCCACUGACUUUGGUGACAGCUGCAGCUCUAAAAAUCAAUUUAACAUAGUUUGCAUAUUGAGGAGAACUGAGGGAAAAUAAAAGGCCUAUUGUGUGGAUACGAAGAGUUUAAACACUGCUGAUGGGUGGUAUAUGAGUCCCUCCCCUUUCCAAAUGAAUUUCACUUCAUGUUUUGUUUGGUUUUCCUGUUGAUGCAUCCUGCACCCUUCAGUGCUAAGCUGGUGGGAUCCCACAUACUUUUCCUGGCAUGUGGUGUUUAAAAUAAGAGACCUCAGCAAUCGGAUAUCCUCAGCAUUUCCAGCUAUUGAACACAAUUCAUGAGUACUGUGAUCCAAUUUCAGAGCAGAAAAGAAAAGAUAUAUAGGAAUAUUCUCCCGGUGCUGGUACAGGGCAGACAAAGAAAACUGAGCAAACAGGAUGUUCUGCCCCUCUGUGAACUUCAGCAAACGACCAUAGCAGACAGGAUACAGUCUGCAAACUCGCAGCUGCAAUGUAUGUGCCUGGCUGCCCAAUACCUUUUUCUGGGUAAUUCACUUGCAGCACAAAUAGGGCAUGAAGAAAGUAAAAGAUCUAGCAUGCAGUUCCCACCUGACAUGCCUCAAGACUGAAGUCCUUCACCAAACACACACUGCCUGAAGGAGGAAUGGGAUGUUUUCUUUAUGCUACUAAGCAAAAGAGUCUCAUCCCCAAACUCACUCAGAACAUGUUCAUGAAUGCAAUGCUUGGUGUUCAUGACUCAGGACAUCAGCCUGCUUACCUAAGAUAAUUCACUCAGUAGUAAGGCACACUGCAGCUUAAGUCUUCACAAGAGCACCCAGCACUCUGAGAAAUCACUCUAUUGCAGACUGCUUCACAGCACUCUAAUAGUCCCACAGCAUUUUCCAAGAACAUCACCCUUCGCAUCUCUGCUGCUGCUUCUGGAGAUUACAUCUUCACAGGACAUUUGACUAUAUGGGAGAUCGUUUCUGUAAUGGAAAAGCUAGGAAGUUCAAAUGAAAAUGAGAUUCAGUGGACAGUAAAGUAAAAUCUUUUCAAAAGCAACAUCUUUUGUUGAACUGUUAAUUGUAGCAUCAUCUGCUUGUGCUUCCUCUUCACCUAUACAGUCACUAAUGCACUGCUUUGCCUCAGUUGAGCCCUAAGGCAGACUCCCUAAGGUUAUUCAGAUGGCAAACCAGGGAACAGCCAGGGCUGAUACACCAUGCUCUAACAAACUGCUGACUACACUUGUUGCCUCUCUCAUCUUG
rnacentral:lncRNA from 1 species